rnacentral:RNase_P_RNA from 1 species
CGAGCUGGCUAAGCAGUCGCUGUUUUUUUAAUUAAAAGCGGAGGAAAGUCCGGGCUCCAUAGGGCAGGGCGCCAGAUAACGUCUGGGCGGCGCAAGCCGACGGAAAGUGCCACAGAAACGAUACCGCCAAGCAUGGUCCAAAGCCAUGUGGUAAGGGUGAAAUGGUGCGGCAAGAGCGCACCGCACUGCUGGUAACAGCGGUGGCAGGGUAAACCCCGCCCGGAGUAAGGCCAAAUAGGAAUCUGUUAACUGCGGCCCGCAGGAUAGAUUCGGGUAGGCUGCUUGAGGUAAGCGGCGACGCUUAUCCCAGAUAAAUGACUGUUCACGACAGAACCCGGCUUACCGGCCAGCUCAUCCA